CUUAAGCAUAUCAAUAAGCGGAGGAAAAGAAACCAACAGGGAUUGCCCUAGUAACGGCGAGUGAAGCGGCAACAGCUCAAAUUUGAAAUCUGGCGCAAGCCCGAGUUGUAAUUUGUAGAGGAUGCUUCUGGCCAGCGGCCGUUCUAAGUUCCUUGGAACAGGACGUCAUAGAGGGUGAGAAUCCCGUAUGUGACCGGCGCGCAGCCUUUACGUAGCUCCUUCGACGAGUCGAGUUGUUUGGGAAUGCAGCUCUAAAUGGGAGGUAAAUUUCUUCUAAAGCUAAAUACCGGCCAGAGACCGAUAGCGCACAAGUAGAGUGAUCGAAAGAUGAAAAGCACUUUGGAAAGAGAGUUAAAAAGCACGUGAAAUUGUUGAAAGGGAAGCGCUUGCAACCAGACUUCGUAGCGAUGUUCCGCUGGUCUUCUGACCGGUCUACUCAUCGUCGCGAGGCCAACAUCGUCUGGGCCCGCUGGAUAAGACCUAAGGAAUGUAGCUUCCCUCGGGAAGUGUUAUAGCCUGUGGUGAUGCAGCGUGGCUCGGGCGAGGUCCGCGCUUCGGCAAGGAUGUUGGCGUAAUGGUUGUCAGCGGCCCGUCUUGAAACACGGACCAAGGAGUCUAACAUCUAUGCGAGUGUUCGGGUGUCAAACCCCUACGCGUAAUGAAAGUGAACGGAGGUGGGAAGCGCAAGCUGCACCAUCGACCGAUCCUGAUGUCCUCGGAUGGAUUUGAGUAAGAGCAUAGCUGUUGGGACCCGAAAGAUGGUGAACUAUGCCUGAAUAGGGUGAAGCCAGAGGAAACUCUGGUGGAGGCUCGCAGCGGUUCUGACGUGCAAAUCGAUCGUCAAAUUUGGGUAUAGGGGCGAAAGACUAAUCGAACCAU
rnacentral:rRNA from 1 species